rnacentral:tRNA from 1 species
UACUAAAUAGAUUCUAAGAUUAGUGCAAUGAAUUUAAGAUUCAUAUAUAAAGUUUAACUUUUUUAGAAA